UACCAGCACCCCGAGUGGUCGGGACGAUUAUUGGGCCUAAAGCAUCCGUAGCCGGUCCUACAAGUCUUCCGUUAAAUCCACCUGCUUAACAGAUGGGCUGCGGAAGAUACUAUAGGGCUAGGAGGCGGGAGAGGCAAGCGGUACUCAGUGGGUAGGGGUAAAAUCCUCUGAUCCAUUGAAGACCACCAGUGGCGAAGGCGGCUUGCCAGAACGCGCUCGACGGUGAGGGAUGAAAGCUGGGGGAGCAAAGC
rnacentral:rRNA from 1 species